AAUGUACAUGUAUGAGUAUAAAUGUAAUGUGUAGAAGGAACUGUACUGUAUUUGGUAACAAACGAGCCAAAAUGGUCGUCGGAGACCUCUAGGCGGCCAGCAGACACUCAACAAUAUUUGUUUUCAUUUUUGUUUGUAUUAUAAGUGUGCGUUGAUGUAUUACAAUUCAUCGUACUAAUUAACAAACGUGCACAGUACUGUAAUUAAAAACCGAGUGAGUCAAUCUUCUGCCGCCAUCUGCUGGCAUGAAUUGUCAGCUACUUAAUGGUUGGGUUUGCGUUUUUAAUUGUAUUUUAUGUAUGAUAUUAGGCAUUUAUUCUCACGCACGUAUAAGAAAUAAUAUAGGUUAAAAUAAAAUAAAAGUCUAAAAAACGACGUUGAUACUGACCAUCACUUCCGUGCAUGGUAAAACAUAAGAAUUUACAUUGAGCCGGGAGUUGUAGUUCUCUACUGCUUAGAAGUGAUGCUCGGGCGAUGAAAAGGACUACAACUCCCACGAUGCGCCACCAAAGUCACUAACAGGCAGUCAGGCGCACUGCCGAGUUAACCCACCGCCUGUAAUCCCUCCUCUGACAACUCAACUCUCUGCGGUUCUUUUCUGCCUUUAAACACAAAACUCAUCGAGUAAAAACAUGGACAACACCGGGAAAGAAAAAGAAGCGAUACAGCUCAUGGCCGACGCCGACAAGAAAGUCAAGUCGUCGGGCUCUUUUUUGGGAGGGAUGUUCGGCGGAGGACAUCACAAAGUGGAGGAGGCCUGUGAGAUGUACUGCAGAGCGGCCAACAUGUUCAAGAUGGCCAAGAACUGGAGCGCUGCUGGUGGAGCGUUUUGCAAGGCCGCACAUCUUCACAUGCAGCUGCAGAACAAACACGACUGCGCCACCAGUUUCAUCGACGCCGGCAAUGCGUACAAGAAGUCUGAUCCCAACGAGGCAAUCAAGUGUUUAAAUGCCGCCAUCGAUAUUUACACAAACAUGGGAAGAUUCACCAUCGCCGCCAAACAUCACAUCAGUAUCGCCGAAAUAUAUGAGGCCGACCUGGUGGACAUUGAAAAAGCGAUUGCACAUUACGAGCAAGCGGCAGAUUACUACAAGGGAGAGGAAUCAAACAGUUCGGCCAACAAGUGUUUGCUGAAGGUGGGGGCCUACUGUGCUCAGUUGGAGCAAUACCAGAAGGCUAUUGAGAUAUAUGAGCAGGUUGGCGCCAACACGAUGGACAACCCGCUGCUUAAGUACAGCGCCAAGGAGUAUUUCUUCAAAGCGGCGCUGUGUCAUUUCAUUGUGGACGAGCUCAACGCCAAGAUCGCUGUGGAGAAGUACGAGGAGAUGUUCCCAGCUUUCUCCGACUCUAGAGAGUGCAAACUGUUGAAGAAACUGCUUGAGGCUCAUGAGGAACAGAACAGCGAGGCCUUCACAGAGGCGGUGAAGGAGUUCGACUCCAUCUCGCGUCUGGACCAAUGGCACACCACGCUGCUGCUGCGCAUCAAAAAGACCAUCCAGGGCGACGAGGGAGACCUCAAAUGAGAACGAGCGGACGCCCACACAGACGGACGGGACAAACGAGUCAGCGCAUGGUCCCCCCCCACCCCCCAGCCCCAACCACUCACCCACACACACAUACAUACAUACACGACACAGCACUGCUUUACAGUAAUGCUUUCCUCCGAAUCCAGUCGGAAUGUAAAGAUCCUCUCACGUGGAGGACUGCUGCAUACCUUUUUACUAACUACGCCAUGUUAGUCAUUCAAGCUUGUCACGUUUUUUUCUGUCACUCCAUAAUGUGUAUGAGGUGUGACAAUACAGAAACGGGACUAUGGGACUCACGCUAAGUUCUCACAGCGUCGCCACAAUUCUGCUAUGAGAUCAUGUACUUGAUUCAUCUUUUUCAGGCAUUUGUGUAAGACUGUUCUCUCUAGUGCUGCGUGGCACCACAAGAUUUGGUGGCAACCCAGUACCAGGCUUUUGCAUAGCACACAAGAUUUGGUGUCAAUCCAAUACCAGGUAGAUACAGCGCUGGUAUCGUUGAUUCCGAUAAAUAUUUAAGUUUGCAAGACAGUCAACCGGACAAGUUCAAGGACAAGAAGCGGCAGUAAAAAAAACGUGAUUCAUCCCAUGCAGCCGGUCAGGUGAUAACAGCUCAAAAUUAUUAUUUUAUAAGAGAAAAUGAUUGGACACAAAGUGAAACAGACUUGGUUCAGUGAUGCCGUGGUCGAAUUCCGAGUUAUUCUCGUUUCGAUGUCAAAUGACAUAUUAUUGUGUGUUCCAGCGUCAAAAUGCCAUCAUAAAAUGUAAAUAUUAUAACUAUUAUGAAAAACAUUAGAAAAAUACAUAAAACAUUUGAAAAAUACAACAAUAUUAGACAGAAAAGCUAAAAAUAAAUAUUUUCAGAAUAUUUGUAAAAAUACAAAAAUGUUAGACAAAAACUAUCCUAAAAAUACACAAAUAUUAGAAAAAAUAGACAUAUCUUUAAAAAAAUAUUAGGCAAACAAACAAAAUGUUAGCCAAAAUCACUACACACAAAUAAACUAAAUAGAAUGUAAAGAAUUAAAUAGUUUGUGCAUCAUGAUUUAAUGUUCAAUUCAUUGUGCUGCUCCUCUGGUGUGCCCGUCUUAGCCAUCGGGGGCCAGUAUAAUACAGUCAUGCAUAUACGAAUGAAGAAUAGCUUCACAAAUACUGCGACUCAGUAAGGUGCCGUAACAUUAGUUGUUGUCACAGAGGAUAAAGAAUGUAUGCCUGUGAGUAUUGUGAUAUUGUCAGUCUACAUGUGUUGCUCCACCGUUGAUGUUCAAAUAUCUGUUCCUUGAAGGCUUACAACACUGCGAUGCUAAGUUGAGCUGUGACUAUCAUUAUUUCAGUUUUCAGAAUUUGUUUGUGACAUUUUUGUUUGCGAAAUGGGUGCCUUGGCUCAAUGAAAGUCGGGGAGAAAUGUUGUAAUGAAUCCUAUUGUUUCCUAAAUGUGUGUGUGUGUGUGUGUGUGUGUCCCGAUGACCAUAUCGAAUAAAACUUGGCUUGCCAAAGCCGAAGAAUGACUCAUUACAUGGGGAGCUAAUUAGCAAAUAAUCGUGUGGGAACGUGCUAAACAAAAGAAGACGGUUUAAUCCCACGCCCGCAGACUCGUUUUCACUCAAUAGAAGGCAC